GGAUAGGAAACAAAAAGGCAUCUUUUUGUUUUUAAAAGACCUUCUUACAAAGGUAUGCUUAAAGAGGGGCUUGCGCCACAUUAGUUAGUUGGUAGAGUAAAAGCCUACCAAGACGAUGAUGUGUAGCUGGACUGAGAGGUUGAACAGCCACAUUGGGACUGAGACACGGCCCAAACUCCUACGGGAGGCAGCAGUAGGGAAUUUUCGGCAAUGGAGGAAACUCUGACCGAGCAACGCCGCGUGAACGAUGAAGUAUUUCGGUAUGUAAAGUUCUUUUAUUGAAGAAGAAAAAGUAGUGGAAAAACUAUAUUGACGUUAUUCAAUGAAUAAGCCCCGGCUAACUAUGUGCCAGCAGCCGCGGUAAGACAUAGGGGGCGAGCGUUAUCCGGAAUUAUUGGGCGUAAAGGGUGCGUAGGCUGUUAGAUAAGUCUAUAAUUUAAUUUCAGUGCUUAACGCUGUCUUGUUAUAGAAACUGUCUUGACUAGAGUGAGAUAGAGGCAAGCGGAAUUCCAUGUGUAGCGGUAAAAUGUGUAAAUAUAUGGAGGAACACCAGAAGCGUAGGCGGCUUGCUGGGUCUUUACUGACGCUGAGGCACGAAAGCGUGGGUAGCAAACAGGAUUAGAUACCCUGGUAGUCCACGCCGUAAACGAUGAGUACUAAGUGUCGGGGUAAAACUCGGUACUGAAGUUAACACAUUAAGUACUCCGCCUGAGUAGUACGUACGCAAGUAUGAAACUUAAAGGAAUUGACGGGACUCCGCACAAGCGGUGGAUCAUGUUGUUUAAUUCGAAGAUACACGAAAAAUCUUACCAGGUCUUGACAUACUCUGCAAAGCUAUAGAAAUAUAGUGGAGGUUAUCAGGGAUACAGGUGGUGCAUGGUUGUCGUCAGUUCGUGUCGUGAGAUGUUAGGUUAAGUCCUAAAACGAACGCAACCCUUGUCGUUAAUUGCCAGCACAUAAUGGUGGGGACUUUAACGAGACUGCCAAUUAAACAUUGGAGGAAGGUGAGGAUUACGUCAAAUCAUCAUGCCCCUUAUGAUCUGGGCUACAAACGUGAUACAAUGGCUGUGACAAAGAGUAGCUGAAACGCGAGUUUUUAGCCAAUCUCAAAAAAGCAGUCUCAGUUCGGAUUGAAGUCUGUAACUCGACUUCAUGAAGUUGGAAUCGCUAGUAAUCGCGAAUCAGCAUGUCGCGGUGAAUACGUUCUCGGGGUUUGUACACGCCGCCCGUCAAA
rnacentral:rRNA from 1 species